rnacentral:lncRNA from 1 species
CACACUUCGUUUACAUUAUUUAAUAAAGAAGUAUGGCGCUUUUGACUCCGUGGUUCCGUUAAAAGGUUUUAAUCCGGGUUAGUGCUUUUAUUAUUAAUAGGAACGAAAGCGAGCUGAUCCUGGAGUCCCUGCAAUCCUUCUCGAAACUCCUGAACAGUUUGCCAGGGUUCAAAUUCAGUUCCUUUCAAGUUACCGGAGCAGUGAGGAUCAAGUUGCUAUUCGGUCAAGAGGAUCCAGGUCUAAGGAGAUCCUCGAUCCAGUUAUUAGGAGAUCUGGCAACAUCCCUUGGCCAGGAGACCAAUUUUGAGGCAUUCAAGGAUCGAGUGAGAUCCAAGGGAACCUCAUCACUUUACUCUUGCAUCUAUGCAAUCCAGACGUGUAUGUUGUCAAGGCCUCUAAAAGUACAAUCCAGAAGGUUGGCCCUUAUCUGGAUUUUCCGGAGGUAUACCGCAUGAUCCAGGAGUGUUUGGGCGACGACACCGACUUGAUGUUCACGGAUUUUAUUAAGGAGUUAAUUAAACGCAUAGGAUUUAUGGAAUCAAUGAUAUCAAGGUUACUUGGGGAUCAAAUCGAGGACGAGUUGGUUUAAUGGUGGUGUCUAAGCGCCAAUCCCGCCCUUGUCACCGGUUUUUUCUACGCCAAACUACUAAAGUUUCACUGGAAACUGUCUGCGAUAAACUGAUUAGACUGAUGCAAGACGAGUCAGAAGAAGUUAGGAUUAAGGCAAGUCAAGCUAUAUCGUGUUUGUUUUUAUAAUUAUUUAUUUUUAAUUUUUACAACGGGGCACCUUGUACGUAAUAAUAAAAAACUAAAAAAAUUGUAGUUUUUGAAAAAAAAAACGAAAUUUCGGUUUUUUACCAUUAACAUGUACUUUAUAAGUUCGUAAAUUUUGCAUAACUUUUUUGGUAUUUGAGAUAGAGCUUUCAUUUAAAAACUGUCAAAUACUCCUUGCAAAGGGGCACCUUGUACGUAAUAAUCAAAAACUAAAAAAAUUGUAGUUUUUGAAAAAAAUCGAAAUUUCGGUUUUUUACAAUUAACAUGUACUUUUUUAGAUCGAAAAUUUUGCAUAACUUUUUUGUUAUUAAAGAUAGAGCUUUCGUUUAAAAACAGUCAACUACUCCUAGCGAAGGGGCACCUUGCACAUAAUUAUCAAAAUUUAAAAAAUUAUAGUUUUUGGAAAAAAUCGAAAUUUCGGUUUUUUACAAUUAACAUGUACUUUUUUAGAUCGAAAAUUUUGCAUAACUUUUUUGUUAUUAAAGAUAGAGCUUUCGUUUAAAAACAGUCAACUACUCCUAGCGAAGGGGCACCUUGUACAUAAUUAUCAAAAUUUAAAAAAUUAUAGUUUUUGAGAAAAAUCGAAAUUUCGGUUUUUUACAAUUAACAUGUACUUUUUUAGAUCGAAAAUUUUGCAUAACUUUUUUGUUAUUAAAGAUAGAGCUUUCGUUUAAAAACAGUCAACUACUCCUAGCGAAGGGGCACCUUGCACAUAAUUAUCAAAAUUUAAAAAAUUAUAGUUUUUGAGAAAAAUCGAAAUUUCGGUUUUUUACAAUUAACAUGUACUUUUUUAGAUCGAAAAUUUUGCAUAACUUUUUUGUUAUUAAAGAUAGAGCUUUCAUUUAAAAACUGUCAAGUACUCCUUGCAAAGGGGCACCUUGUACGUAAUAAUCAAAAACUAAAAAAAUUGUAGUUUUUGAAAAAAAUCGAAAUUUCGGUUUUUUACAAUUAACAUGUACUUUUUUAGAUCGAAAAUUUUGCAUAACUUUUUUGUUAAUAAAGAUAGAGCUUUCGUUUAAAAACAGUCAACUACUCCUAGCGAAGGGGCACCUUGCACAUAAUUAUCAAAAUUUAAAAAAUUAUAGUUUUUGAGAAAAAUCGAAAUUUCGGUUUUUUACAAUUAACAUGUACUUUUUUAGAUCGAAAAUUUUGCAUAACUUUUUUGUUAUUAAAGAUAGAGCUUUCAUUUAAAAACUGUCAAGUACUCCUUGCAAAGGGGCACCUUGUACGUAAUAAUCAAAAACUAAAAAAAUUGUAGUUUUUGAAAAAAAUCGAAAUUUCGGUUUUUUACAAUUAACAUGUACUUUUUUAGAUCGAAAAUUUUGCA